CGCGCGUCGACAUCGGACGCUAUGACACACUCGUGCCCUAUGUGCCACCGAAGCCCCGAAGUGGUCUGGCAUAUACCUUCACAUAUAUGCAAUGGCAAGCCCUUCCGUGUGUUCCAAAGACAAUGCCUACGCCUAGCCACAGCAGCUCCCUCAUACAGACUCUGCAAACCAAGAGGCCGUGGAGGCAAAUGCAGGCAGCCAGCACACCUCGAACAGCCACCUUGACUGCGGGUGUGUCACCCUAGUCGCCAAGGAAACAUUUGAGGGAAAGUGACAGGCAAUGUGAACAGCCACUCCUCCAUGUAAACAAUACUCUUUCUCUCGGAUGACUCCUACGCCUCACCACGCCAGCACACUUGUGCACAAAGAUGCCGCAGAGGCACGUGCAGGUCAGAGGCAAGAAGCAGUGGCACUGGUGUCGACAUUUACCCAAUUUUUUUUUCUUACACUGAGGCAGCCAGCACACCUCGAACAGCCACCUCGACUGCGGGUGUGUUAGUUGAUCCCUGUUGUACAUAUGCUCAUAAUAAACUUCAGUAAACUUGAACUUCAUAAUAAACUUGAAGGCAAAUGGUACAUUGAUGCAUUGUA